UACAUAUUUUCGAGAUUUACUGCAUUGAAACCAAGCGUUCGAUUGCUUGACGUCACUUCGUGAUCGACAUCGAUGAAACGCUUGCUUACGCUGUAGAUGUUAUUUUCUGUGCAAAUACAAGCGUCUAUUGAUAACGAAACAAUAAUUUGUCAACAAUGAGAAUCAGAUACUUGGCUUAAUAAUUUUCAUUUAAAAUGUCUAAUUUGGAUAUAAUUCGGAAUACAAAACGAAACUUAAAAGGUAUUGAAAACAACAACGUUCAAAAGAACAAUGUGGAUUUCAAUAGAAAGACUAUUUCCACCGACAAUCAGGAUUUCCGGAAUGACCACUGUUAUUUUGACGAUUUUUCUAUCGGUUCGUCGGUAAGCGUGACCACAUGUGACAACAGCGAUGCUUGUUGGAUAUAAAAUUGGUAGACGUGUCGUUGAACUCGACACAUUGACCGAAUCGCUUUUAGCAUGCAGUGCUUGUCAAGUGCCCAUGAAUUUACUUAACACUGUAGAAAGCAGGGAUUUCGGACAGGCAUGUGUUUUGGACAUACAGUUUAGCAAUUGUGGUGCAGUAAAUAAUGUGGCUACUGGACGGAAACAUGGCAGAGUUUAUGACAUGAUCACAAAGCUUGCAUUUGGGUAAAUCAAAAACUGGGUGUUUCACCUGGGACUUUCACAUCGAAACUGGCCCUUCUCCAUGACCUUCAGCACAAAAAAAGAAAGGCUAUAACUGUUACUCGUGCAGCAAAACAGUGACGCAUAAGACUUAAAACUCGAACGGCAUUCAAAGGACAGUGCAAGAAGUACAAGCGGGACCAACAUACAGUUCAAACAUAGAGGACCAAGACGUUGAAGUUACAACUAUACCCCCACCUAUACCCAAGCCUGGUCCAGCAGGGCUAGACACUACUGGGAAGGAAUUUGUUUUCUUUGAUUUGGAAACAAGAGGGUUAGAGCACACUUCUCACAUAAUUCAGAUAGCUGCAGUGCAUUCAACUGGUCAGAAGAUUUCCUUGCAAGCGUCAGAAAUAACUGGAGUGACAGUUGUUAGCGACUCUAUGCUUGUCAAGAGACAAACAGUAACAGCUGUCCCCAUCAAAUCUGCAUUGACAAGUUUUAUAACAUUCUUACAGAAAUGUUCACCAAUUAUUUUAGUUGGGCAUAAUAUAGAGUCUUUUGAUUGUAAAGUGUUGCUCCGUGCUAUCCAUACUUGUUGAAAAAUGUUUGAGUUUCAGCAAAAUAUUUGUGGCUUUUUAGAUACUUAAAAAUGUUAAAGGAAAUAUUACCAAAUAUGAAAUCAUAUUAGCGGGAACAUUUAGUUAAAGACGUCAUUGGUGAAUUAUACAUGGCACAUGGCUCUAUACAGGAUAUUUUAGCUUUACAAAAGUUAGUGAACUCUGUUCCUCUUGACCAAAAAUUGUUAACAAAUAUUCAUUCAGCUUUUACCGAGCAGUGUUAACAUACAAUGUGUAACUAAAUGUUGCUUCCAACAUCAAAUCUUUACAAACCAUAAUUGAUACAAAAGUUAUAAGUCAAGGUGUUGCAAGGAAAGUUGCAGGAAGUGGAUUUCAACUUAAACAUUUGAGUCCUGUAUCAAAAAGAAACGGACUGAGUGGUUUGAGGAGCCCCCUUUCAGAGGUUACAAACGGACAAAGCAGAGUAACAAAAUCAGAGAAAAUAAUAUGUACAAUAGCGAGUUAUUUGUUGCCUGACAUCUAACCAAUUGUAAUUUGCAUCUUGUAUAUAGAUAAGCUAUGAAAUCUAAAAGCUGUUACAUCAUUGUUUUUCCUUCUCGAUGACGAACAUAGUUGUGAUUCUUAUGUCAGUUGUAUUUCUCAUGUUUCACCUAAGUUGUAAGAUAUUUUUGGCAGUGCAUUAAACCACAGAUGGUGUGUGAAACAUAAUUGCCCAGCUUAUUGUAUUCUUUGUUGUUUUAAGCUUCACUGGCCAAAGGCCAGCGGGGCUUAUGUUAUGAUUCUGUGUCCGUCGUGCGUGCGUGCCUGAACGUUUCCUUUAAACAUCUUCUUCUCCUAAACUACUGGUCCAAUUGUGAUGAAAUUUCUCAGGAAUGUUCCUCUUUCAACGUUGUUCAAAUUAUGCCCCUGGGGUCAAAUUUGACCCUGCCCCGGGGUCACAAAAUUUAACGUAUGCUUAUAUAGGGUCUAUUUUGUGAAAACUUCACAUAUUUUUUCGUCCAUAACCAUUGGGCCUUGGGCUUCCAAAUUUGGUAUGUAGUGGCAUCUUAUAGUCCUCUACCAAGUUUGUUCAAAUUAUGCCCCUAGGGUCAAGUUUGACCCUGCCCUGAGGGUCACAAAAUUGAACAUAUGCUUAUAUUAGGCAUUUUUUGUGAAAACUUUAAAAAUCUUCUUGUUCAUAUUAGUAUGGCAUAGGGCUACCAAAUUUGGUAUGUAAUGACAUGUAAUAGUUCUCUACCAAGUUUGUUCAAAUUAUGCCCCUUGGGUUAAAUUUGAAACUGCCCCGGGGGUCACAAAACUGAACAUAUGCUUAUAAAGUGCUUUAUUGGUGAAAAAAAAUUGUCCAUAUCUAUUGGGCCUAGGGCUACCAAAUUUGGUAUGUAGUGACAUCUUAUAAACCUCUACCAAAUUUGUUCAAAUAAUGCCUCUGGGGUCAACUUUGACCCUGCCGCGGGGGAUCACAAAAUUUAAUAAACGCUUAUAAAGCGCCUAUUUUGUGAAAUCUUUAAAAAUCUUGUCGAAAACCAUUCUGACUAUGGCUACCAAAUUUGGUAUGCAGGAACAUCUUAUAGUCAUCUACCAAGUUUGUUACUUUGGGUCAAAUUUGACCCUGACCCGCAGGUCACAAAAUUGAACAUUAUAUACGCUUGUAUCUUGCUUAUUUUAUGAAAACUUAAAAAAUAUUCUUGUCCUUAACUCUACAUCUAAGACUUAGGGCCACCACAUUUUGUAUGGAGUGAGAUAUAGUAGCCCUCUACAAAGUUUGCUAAAAUUAUGCCCCUGGGGUUAAAUUUGACCCAGCCCAGGUGGUCACAAAAUUGUACAUGUGCUUAAAUAGGGCCUAUAUUUAAGUAUCUGCACAUGCGGAGAAUAUUUGUUUCAGUCUUUUUUUCAGCAGUGGAGCGAUACAGGGCCAUCAUGGCCUCUUGUCUUUAAAUACACAUCACACAGUUUUAAAAAUAAUUUUAAAAUACCUAAUACAUAUGCUCAAUUUACAACCAACAACAUGGGUAACAGGUGGGUGGGGUAAUUUAAGAUGUUUAUUUGAACAUCAACAUUGUUUUUACAGUUGUUACAUCUGAAAUAUUUUCAUAACAAUAUACAUUAUAAAUAUUUCUACGUGUAUCACAUUUCAGUUGAUAAUUUGAUUGUUAUGGAGCAGUUAUUAUAUAGAUAUGUUUUAAUUACUAUUACAAUGUUAGUCAUUGUAUUUUUGAAAUUACGUCCAUAUUAAAAUGUCUAUAGCAAAAAAAAAUCCACGGUGACCUAUCAAUUUCUUUACUUCAUUUUAAUGCUUAGCUAGUUGACUUUAAUUAUUGAGAACUUCAAAUGAAUAUGAAUAUUACAUCAACAGAAAUAUGUAUCUGUGUUGCAUGUUAUCUAUUUUGAACUGUGCAAUAAAAAAUUCAAAACAAACAAAAAACUAGUCAUACUUAUUUCUCAUUAUUUUUUACGAUUUCCAUAAUUUUUGGUUUUAAAACUGUUCACUAUGAUAAUACACAUGUUACAGUUGCUAAUCUAAUGCAAUCUCAAUACUAUUAUGCCAUUUUAAAUGUAUUACACAAAAACAUUUUACCGUACCCCCAAAUUUAUGCCCCGCAAAAAUGACCUUUUUUCAAACGCACAUGGCAUUUAAAAACCUUCGUUAUCUCAAAAUUAUUCACGGUGACCUCUCUUUUUUAUUUUAUAUUAAUUUCAGAUACAGAUUCAUUAAUCACCAUACAAAAAAUUAUAGCAUUCCGGAUAUUUUGAAAAUUUUCACAAAACGAUCGAACAUCC